AUACGGAGGAUCCGAGCGUUAUCCGGAUUUAUUGGGUUUAAAGGGUGCGCAGGCGGCCAUUUAAGUCAGCGGUUAAAUCGUGGGGCUCAACCCCAUUCUGCCGUUGAUACUGGGUGGCUUGAUUGCGGUCGAGGUUGGCGGAAUUCGUUGUGUAGGGGUGAAAUGCAUAGAUAUGACGAAGACCACCGAUUGCGUAGGCAGCUGACCAGACCGCAAAUGACGCUCAUGCACGAAAGUGCGGGGAUCGAACAGGAUUAGAUACCCUGGUAGUCCGCACAGUAAACGAUGAAUACUUGUUUUCGGCGAUAUAAUGUCGGAGGCAAAGCGAAAGCGAUAAGUAUUCCACCUGGGGAGUACGCCGGCAACGGUGAAACUUAAAGGAAUUGACGGGG
rnacentral:rRNA from 1 species